UACUAUGUCUACAUAUGGAGCCCAGUGGCAGUAAUGAUCCCAAAAUUGUGCCUGCAAUGUAUGUGAACGAGUUCUGAAACCUGCCAAAUCAUUCCCCUGACUCAGAAACAGCUGUCAGGGGAUCUAUGAAAUGUGAAACUGCAGGUAGAAAAAAAAUCAUAAUAAUUGGAAGCUGCAAAAAAAAAAAAAAAAAAAACAGGAUAAAAACUGGGAUGAAACUGGAGCUGCCAGAAGACAACUUUGUCCUUUGUUUUCCAAUUAAGUAAACUGGCUUUGUUUUGAAAUGCCACCUGGUAUUGGGUAGCGGUGGAAAGACAAUGCUAAUGAGGAAGUGCCAUGUUAAUGCAUCAUUAUUAAUGGCUGAUUAGUCAAAAGGGCAUUGUAAGAAGAAGGAAAGUCGAGGAUGAGCAUCUGAAAUGAAGCAUCUGGGACAACGAUGACAAUUAACUGUGAAUUGUCACGCUCUGAUAUGGUACAUUUAACCUCUUCGAGACACAGUUAUUGUGAGCCUUUAAAUUACAGAAUUUCAUAAUUUUUUUCUCAUUAAAGUUUUUA